rnacentral:rRNA from 1 species
CUACGGGGGGCAGCAGUGAGGAAUAUUGCACAAUGGGGGGAACCCUGAUGCAGCAACGCCGCGUGGAGGAUGACGCAUUUCGGUGUGUAAACUCCUUUUAUAUGUCAAGAAAAUGACGGUAGCAUAUGAAUAAGCACCGGCUACACUCCGUGCCAGCAGCCGCGGUAAUACGGAGGGUGCAAGCGUUACUCGGAAUCACUGGGCGUAAAGGACGCGUAGGCGGGUUGGAAAGUCAGGUGUGAAAUCCUACAGCUUAACUGUAGAACUGCACUUGAAACUUCUAAUCUAGAGUAUGGGAGGGGGAGAUGGAAUUAGUGGUGUAGGGGUAAAAUCCGUAGAUAUCACUAGGAAUACCUAAAGCGAAGGCGAUCUCCUGGAACAUUACUGACGCUAAGGCGUGAAAGCGUGAGGAGCAAACAGGAUUAGAUACCCUAGUAGUC